AGGUUCUUGUUGCUGGAGUUCGAGGAAUGAGGUGGGAUGCUGUUGAAUUGCCUUUCCAGUUCAGGGAAAAUCUUGAUGGACAUUGCAAUGCAUUAUGUAACUGGGAAGGCUCUUCCAGAAGACGUGUUUGAAACUUUUGGCUGCAAGAUUCUUUUGUCGUUUUACCCAAAUUUUUUCAGGGAGAUAUGCAGCUAGAUAUUACAUUUAUGAAGGAGACAUGCCAUUUUAUGAGGAAGAUAGAUAGGAAAAAAGAGUAUUGGAAUUUUGGGGAUAGUGUAACUGAGCUGAGAUCAUGUAGUCAUGAUACUCAAAGAAAAUGAUUUUGAAAUUUGGAGAAGAGAGAGGAAGAAAAUGAAAUUUUGGUUGUCCAUGGAGGGUUUCUGCAUUGAAAAUGAUGUGAAAAUGCCAACAAUGAUGGCAAUGAUGCCUCAGUACUGCACUUUAUUUCCAAUUUUCUUUCAAAUGGUUGAUGAAGAUGGAUACAGAAUCAGCAAGCAUAUUGAGGGUCAGUUUCCUUUAUUCAUUCUUGAGGAUAAGAAUGAAUUCAAGAAGUGGGGAAAUUUUAUGAUUAAUAAGGGGAUGCGAUGAGAUUGUAUGGAAGAGGGUCGAAUAAUAGGAGUUUGAGGGAAAAGGGGGGCAGUUAUUCUGUUAACAGGGUGAUCAUCUUGUUACAUUUCGUAAUAAUACAAUGGGAGGGUGAGAUGCUUGUAAUUGGGGCAUUCUCGAAUUUAUAAACAAUGCAGA
rnacentral:misc_RNA from 1 species